GCAGUAGCCGCGGUAAUACGUAGGUGGCGAGCGUUGUCCGGACUUAUUGGGCGUAAAGGGAGUGUAGGCGGUCUUUUAAGUCUGAUGUGGAAGCCCACGGCUCAACCGUGGAGGGUCAUUGGAAACUGGGAGACUUGAGUGCAGAAGAGGAGAGCGGAAUUCCAUGUGUAGCGGUGAAAUGCGUAGAUAUAUGGAGGAACACCAGUGGCGAAGGCGGCUCUCUGGUCUGUAACUGACGCUGAGGCGCGAAAGCCAGGGGAGCAAAUGGGAUUAGAUACCCCCGUAGUCCCUGUCUCUUAUAC
rnacentral:rRNA from 1 species